AGUCAACAUGCCCAGGGGACGUGGAUAACCUCGGGAAACUGAGGAUAAACCGCGAUAGGUCACUACUUCUGGAAUGGGUAAUGACCCAAACCUACAUGGCCCCUGGAUUGGACUGCGGCCGAUCAGGCUGUUGGUGAGGUAAUGGCCCACCAAACCUGUAACCGGUACGGGCUCUGAGAGGAGGAGCCCGGAGAUGGGCACUGAGACAAGGGCCCAGGCCCUAUGGGGCGCAGCAGGCGCGAAACCUCUGCAAUAGGCGAAUGCUUGACAGGGUUACUCUGAGUGAUUUCCGUUAAGGAGAUCUUUUGGCACCUCUAAAAAUGGUGCAGAAUAAGGGGUGGGCAAGUCUGGUGUCAGCCGCCGCGGUAAUACCAGCACCCCGAGUGGUCGGGACGUUUAUUGGGCCUAAAGCAUCCGUAGCCGGUUCUACAAGUCUUCCGUUAAAUCCACCUGCUUAACAGAUGGGCUGCGGAAGAUACUAUGGAGCUAGGAGGCGGGAGAGGCAAGCGGUACUCGAUGGGUAGGGGU
rnacentral:rRNA from 1 species